AGUGUAUGUUAGGAUGAAGUGUGAAUUCAUGCCAGGAAUAAUAAGUGUGAAGUUUGAUUUCCUCCCUUCUGUAAUAAGCAGCCAAUGAGUUCUCACUGAAGGGGAUAAUUCUCACUGAAACUACUGAAUAAAGCCGCCAGUUAAAAUCA